rnacentral:rRNA from 1 species
GUGAACGUUGGCGGUGCGUCUAAUACAUGCAAGUCGAAUGGGUUUAGACCCAUGGCGGACGGCUGAGUAACACGUUGGUAACUGCCCCAAACUCAGGGAUAACUAUGAGAAAUCAUAGCUAAUACCGGAUGGUCUCGUAAGAGUAAAGCUUUUGCGGUUUGGGAGGUGCCUGCGGCCUAUCAGGUUGUUGGUGAGGUAACGGCUCACCAAGCCUAUGACGGGUAACUGGUCUGAGAGGACGACCAGUCAGAGGGAAACUGAGACACGGUUCCCACUCCUACGGGAGGCAGCAGUAAAGAAUCUUCCGCAAUGGACGAAAGUCUGACGGAGCGACACCGCGUGCAGGAUGAAGGCCUUCGGGUCGUAAACUGCUUUUCUGGGGGAAUAAUUAUGAAUGUACCCUAGGAAGAAGCACCGGCUAAUCAUGU